GCCACCGGCGAUAGCACGUUGAAUGCACCAGUUCCCCGUGGAUCACUGAAGUUAAGCAACAUUGCACGUGG
rnacentral:rRNA from 1 species